rnacentral:miRNA from 1 species
AAGGAUGGCUCAGUGACUAAGAAGCACACACUGAUCUUGCAGAAGACUCAGGUUCGGUUGUCAGCAUACUCACUGGGUAGUUCUA